UACGUAGGGUGCAAGCGUUAUCCGGAAUUAUUGGGCGUAAAGCGUUCGCAGGCGGUUAAGCAAGUUUGCGGUUAAAUCUUCCGGCUUACCCGGAAAAUUGUCGCGAAAACUACUUAGCUUGAGUUUGGCAGAGGCAACUGGAAUUUUGCAUGUAGGGGUAAAAUCCGUAGAUAUGCAGAAGAACACCAAAAGCGAAGGCAGGUUGCUGGGCCAUUACUGACGCUCAUGAACGAAAGCGUGGGGAGCAAACAGG
rnacentral:rRNA from 1 species